AUGUUCGACGGAGUUGAGCGGAUGCUUCGGGGAGUCAGGCAUGUGCCAGGGCUUUGGAGGAAUCUAAUUUCGCUUGGUGUUCUUCAUGAUUGUGGUAUGGAAUUCCGUUGUGAUCGGGAUAAGACAAUGAAAAUCAUGGAAGAUGGGGUGACCGUGAUAAUAGGAUAGAGGACAGCCUCACAUCUUUACAAGUUGCACGGGAGCACUAUUGCACGUGGAGCCAUGGAGAGUGGAGCACUAGUAGAAAACAUGGCUUUGGUUCGGGCCUGA
rnacentral:rRNA from 1 species